GUGGGGCUAAUAGUUGUAUCUGUUCUACGGGGUUGUUGAAAAGAUAAAGUGAAAUCAGCCAUCCGGUUCUUUCCUCCUGGGCCAGGCACAUAGUAAGGACUCCCCACAUAGCAGCUGGCAUUGCUUCUCUCUCCCGCUCCCUGCCUCACAGCUCUCAAUUUUCUGACGUGGAGUGAUCAACGAUUGUGGCAGGCAGUGCUAGAGCAGGGUCAUCUUCUGUAAACACAGCCAGCAAAUUAGCAUCAUUCAACAGGUGUGUGUCUCUGUUUGCUUACUCUUGUUUGGAUGGGCCACGGGUAGGUGCCUGCUAUUUCUGAAGGUUUGUCACUUCUAAGGCCAAUGUAGAGAAGCCUG
rnacentral:lncRNA from 1 species